GACAAUGAUUGUUAAAUGUCUUGUCUCAAUCUCAACUUGUUUUGUAUAGCUUGGUUUUGGUCUCUAUUCUUUUAUUCUGAUUGAAAGUUUCCCUUCCUUCUAACAUCUCUGCCAUAGGUAUUUUCAGGGAUGUGCAACAAGAAGCCUCAUAUAAAGCCUGAGCAAAAGAAGGGAGGAAAACAGUCGGAUUCCUGGCUUUCCUGACAGUGAAAUACACCUCUUCAGUAGACUUAGCUAUUGCAGGUUAUGCAACUCUUUCCUGUUGUGUACCACAUAAAAUAUUCAAAAUUUUAGAGAAAUUAUAUAUCUUUGAGAAUUCAGAUGCCACAAACUUCUCCAUACCCUGCGGGCUAUCAUGAGCUAUCAAGACUUCUCUUUCCUUCUCUCUUCCUUACACACUUACACAUGCCCCUCCCUUUUCCUCUCUUUCUCCUCCCUCUCCUCCCCUCUCCUGGUUUUCUCAUCUCUUCAUGUAUUCUCUCUCUUUUCACUUUCUCCCUCCUCCAUUAACUUCCUGUCCUGUCCUUCCUUCCUUCUUUAACAUUCCACCCCUUUCCCUUAUAUUUCUCUGCCCCCCCUUCUCUCCACAGUUGUCAUUUAAUCUAUUGAAUUGGAAACCUAAUGCUCUUUUCUAUUUCAACAUAUAUUAUCAGUGCCCUUUCUUUACAAUUAAUCCUGUACCUAAGUAUCACCUUUAAUUUCUGGUGGAAUAAGCUAGGAAGAUCAGUAGUUAUCGGCCUAUAUUCCUACAUGCAACAACUUAACCCCAAACAAUGAGCACAGAGCUUACUGGUUAUUGAAGCAAGAGUUAAGGGGAAGGGAAUUCUGCCUUUAUAUCUGAUGUACCACAUGUAAAAUGAAAUCUAAGAUCAUGUCCUCAGUGAGCCACAUUCUUGAAUAUUUUGAUCAUCAGAUGUAUUGUAGCUUCUUGUAUACAUUUUCUUCCUUGUAUCUCCUACAUAAUCCUUUAUAUCUCCUAAACUUGCAGCAUAUCCACUGGUUUUGAUCUACUUUCAAUGAUGCUUUGUGCAUGAACUUCAGCGUGUGUGACAUGAUGGGGGAAUUGGGAGGAAUGCUACUGUAGACAUGUUCAUUCUGAGGUGUAUCUGGAAGAUGACCUUUCCCAGAAGGAUGCAGCUGAGCACAGGCCUGAAAGCAGCAAGAUCACCUGAGCACAAGCUAAAAUCUCUGAAGCCACAAGAAUAGAAAUUAACAGACUCAAGCAAUGAGAUCCCCAUCAAAAUCCCAACACAUUUCUUCAUAGACCUUGAAAGAACAAUACUCAACUUUACAUGGAAAAACAAAAAACCCAGGUUAGCCAAAACAACCCUGU